UACGUAGGGUGCGAGCGUUGUCCGGAAUUAUUGGGCGUAAAGGGCUCGUAGGCGGUUUGUCGCGUCGGGAGUGAAAACUCAGGGCUUAACCCUGAGCCUGCUUCCGAUACGGGCAGACUAGAGGUAUGCAGGGGAGAAUGGAAUUCCUGGUGUAGCGGUGAAAUGCGCAGAUAUCAGGAGGAACACCGGUGGCGAAGGCGGUUCUCUGGGCAUUACCUGACGCUGAGGAGCGAAAGUGUGGGGAGUGAACAGG
rnacentral:rRNA from 1 species